GAAGCAGUGUUUACACACCAUGGAGACAGAAGAUUCUCAGAACAAGGAUUGUACCCGGACACGGAGGAUACAGAAAUCGGCAUUUGAAUUACGCGCAAUGGAAACGCUAAGAUACCACUAUGUGCCUCACGGAAGAUUAAGUCUGACAUAGACCCUUUCCCACGUGCUAGGAUUACAGGUCUGCUGGGGAAUGGCUGACUCCACCUCAGUGCUUCAUGAAUGGAGAGCCACAUACCGGAGUUACUCAGCACACAAAGCCUGUGAUGACCCACGGCCUUAGGGUCCUUGCUCAGCCAGGGACCCCCUAGUUAUGGAACAAAAGACGGGAAGUCCUGAGGAUCCCAGCAAACUCUGACUCCUGCUUAGCCACCUCCAGGAGAGCACAGCAUAUGUACUUUUAGGAUCGGCCUCCUCCCGCCGGUCUCCAACAUUCUCCUCUAGUCACUAUCGUCACUUGCCAAGUGACCACAGCAACUUGCAGAAGAAAACAUUUCAUUUGGGGGCACGAAGCUCCAGAGGGUCAGUGCCCACGACCGGCAUGGCACGGUGGCAGUGAAAGGAUCAGAUUAACUUUGUAAACUAUAUGUCUUCUAAAGCCCAUAGUUUUGAGUUUUAGGUCCAGGUUAAGCUAAAGCCUCUUAGUACCUUUCCAGAGAACGGAGACAUGUGACCCUAUCUGUGAGGACAUCUACCCCAUCUGUGACCUGCUGGAUCAUGUGAAAGGGACGGUCCUGCUGGCCCAAAGCUGCAGGAUGUGUGGACGGAAGGGUGUGUGUACUCUGGGACACACUGCGGCUUCCACACCGAGAUGUUUUCUAUGCUUUGUUUAUUUCAUUUUUUGUUUUCUUUUGUGGGGAGGUUGCAAGGACGGAGGGCAGAUACAAAGGGUUGGGGAGAUCA